rnacentral:sRNA from 1 species
GGGGAAUUUUCCGCAAUGGGCGAAAGCCUGACGGAGCAAUACCGCGUGAGGGAGGAAGGCUCUUGGGUUGUAAACCUCUUUUCUCAGGGAAGAACACAAUGACGGUACCUGAGGAAUAAGCAUCGGCUAACUCCGUGCCAGCAGCCGCGGUAAUACGGAGGAUGCAAGCGUUAUCCGGAAUGAUUGGGCGUAAAGCGUCCGCAGGUGGCUAUGUAAGUCUGCUGUUAAAGAGUGAGGCUCAACCUCAUAAAAGCAGUGGAAACUACAUGGCUAGAGUGCGCUCGGGGUAGAGGGAAUUCCUGGUGUAGCGGUGAAAUGCGUAGAUAUCAGGAAGAACACCGGUGGCGAAAGCGCUCUGCUAGGCCGCAACUGACACUGAGGGACGAAAGCUAGGGGAGCGAAUGGGAUUAGAUACCCCCAGUAGUCCUAGCCGUAAACGAUGGAUACUAGGCGUGGCUUGUAUCGACCCGAGCCGUGCCGUAGCUAACGCGUUAAGUAUCCCGCCUGGGGAGUACGCACGCAAGUGUGAAACUCAAAGGAAUUGACGGGGGCCCGCACAAGCGGUGGAGUAUGUGGUUUAAUUCGAUGCAACGCGAAGAACCUUACCAAGACUUGACAUGUCGCGAAUUCCUCUGAAAGGAGGAAGUGCCUUCGGGAGCGCGAACACAGGUGGUGCAUGGCUGUCGUCAGCUCGUGUCGUGAGAUGUUGGGUUAAGUCCCGCAACGAGCGCAACCCUCGUUUUUAGCUGCCAGCACUUAGGGUGGGCACUCUAGAGAGACUGCCGGUGACAAACCGGAGGAAGGUGGGGAUGACGUCAAGUCAGCAUGCCCCUUACGUCUUGGGCUACACACGUACUACAAUGCUACGGACAAAGGGCAGCGAGCUAGCGAUAGCAAGCAAAUCUCAUAAACCGUAGCUCAGUUUCAGAUCGCAGGCUGCAACUCGCCUGCGUGAAGGAGGAAUCGCUAGUAAUUGCAGGUCAGCAUACUGCAGUGAAUUCGUUCCCGGGCCUUGUACACACCGCCCGUCACACCAUGGAAGCUGGUCACGCCCGAAGUCAUUACCCCAACUUUUCGGAGAGGGGGAUGCCUAAGGCAGGACUGGUGACUGGGGUGAAGUCGUAACAAGGUAGCCGUACCGGAAGGUGUGGCUGGAUCACCUCCUUUUUAGGGAGACCUACACCCCUCAAAUCUUAAAAGCAAAAUGCAAAUAGAGAUUGAGUUGGUCUAACCUAGGUCGGUCGCAGACACUUGCAAUAGUUGAAAGCUUUCAAACUAUGACUUGGUUCGAUAUGGGCUAUUAGCUCAGGUGGUUAGAGCGCACCCCUGAUAAGGGUGAGGUCCCUGGUUCGAGUCCAGGAUGGCCCACCUGAAUCAAUUAAAAAUGUAAAAUGCAAAAUUAAAAAUUGAAUUAUCUUCAUUUUUAAUUUUGAAUGAUCAAUUUUUAAUUGUAUCUGGGGGUUUAGCUCAGUUGGUAGAGCGCCUGCUUUGCAAGCAGGAUGUCAGCGGUUCGAGUCCGCUAACCUCCACCUGUGGUGUAGAGCCAAACAACAGCGAAUGAGAAUUCAGCAACAUGACAUAUUAAUGUCAGACUGCUGAGAACAUCUCAGCCAGAACCUUGAAAACUGCAUAGUAACGCGAAAUUAGCAGGCAGACGCAGACAUUCGAUUGAAUGAUUGUGUUUGCAAUGGUGAAACACCAAAUGUAUUGUGGUCAAGCUAAUAAGGGCUAACGGUGGAUACCUAGGCACACAGAG